UACGGAAGGCAGCAGUAGGGAAUCUUCCGCAAUGGACGAAAGUCUGACGGAGCAACGCCGCGUGAACGAUGAAGGCUUUCGGGUCGUAAAGUUCUGUUGUUAGGGAAGAACAAGUACCAGAGUAACUGCUGGUACCUUGACGGUACCUAACCAGAAAGCCACGGCUAACUACGUGCCAGCAGCCGCGGUAAUACGUAGGUGGCAAGCGUUGUCCGGAAUUAUUGGGCGUAAAGCGCGCGCAGGUGGUCCUUUUAAGUCUGAUGUGAAAGCCCACGGCUCAACCGUGGAGGGUCAUUGGAAACUGGGGGACUUGAGUGCAGAAGAGGAAAGUGGAAUUCCACGUGUAGCGGUGAAAUGCGUAGAGAUGUGGAGGAACACCAGUGGCGAAGGCGACUUUCUGGUCUGUAACUGACACUGAGGCGCGAAAGCGU
rnacentral:rRNA from 1 species